AGUAGCUUCUACCCUGAGAGAAAAGCAGAGAUCAUCUCAGAUAGAGACUGUUGUAGAGAUGUCGAAGUAUCAUGCUGUGAAAAUCUGGACACACCGAGAGCCUCUCCUCUGCUCCAUGCUAGUCCAACUGAGUUCUGCUGUAGCACCGCAUCAAGUUCCAUUUCAGGCAUGUUGGGAAUAAAGAGAGAACAGCCCUGCAGUGGGUUCAACACCCACUGUCCUGCAGAUGGAAAUACAAACCCAGAACGAGAAGUGGCUCAUUAACUUUGCCAUCAUAGAGUGGACAGGCAGUACCUAGAAGCUUUUAUUAAUUCCGAAACCAUCAUGCUGACCUCCUCCCUUUACGCCAAGUGUGGUUUGGAAGAAACCACGAGAGGGUUUGGUUACCUCUGAGCUUCAGAGGGAAGGGAGCUUUUUGGUGUGUGUUUUUCCCAGCAUCCAAAAAGACAUUCAAAUUGCGUAACCAGAGGCAAACUGUGCUGUCUGCAGUCGCUGAAUCUACUCACAGCUAAUGCAUGACACUGUGUUCAGGUGCCUCCUGAACUCUGUGACCCUCACAUUUUUGUUUACAGUGUCUUUUCUACUUUUUUUCAUUUUUUCUCAUUUAGUGCCCCAGCACUUUUUAAGAAUUAUGAAGAACAAAACUGAUAUUAGAAAAAACAUGGACUGAUGGCUGUGUGUUGCAUGCGCAUGUACACACACACACACACACACACACACACACACACACACACACACAAUCACUUGUGUCCCUUCAUAUAUCAUUACUUCACCCUGUGACUAGGAAGAUUUCCCUCUUGCUGCUCACCUAAUCUCAUUAAGCCAAUGAUAUUUAUCAGCACUUAACAGAGUUCCCAAAGGGCAAGGCCACAGAGCUUUGGACCCUUGCUCCCCUCUCCAGCCAUGCACAUGUCUUUGACCUGUGCUUGGUCCCUCUUCCAUUCUGGGUAUUCUCUUGGUAUCUCCCCUCCUCACUCCUUGAUUUCUGUUUUGCAUGCUCGUCAGUCCUCAAGGCUUCAGGAAGCAGGUAACUGUGGGAAGAGCAGCGGUCAGGGGGCCAGCAGUCCUGCCCACAUAGCUUACUUGCUCUGCAACCUUGGAUAAGUCACCUACUCUUUCUAAACUGUGGGUUUCUCUUUGGGAAAGCAAUGGUUGCUUGGGUUUCUAUAAGGCCAAAGGAGUCCAGCGUCUGAAUGCCUGCUGCAGGGAUGAUAGCAGCAGUGAUUAAUGAAGUCUCCGAGUCUCACUGCUGCUGCCUAAAUUCAAGGUGUGGGAUCAGCUGCUCUCUGGUGCUUUCCAGGCCACAGGCCUGACUCUUGGCUGUUCUCCACUGCUUGGCUCUCCGUUGUCAUCUUCUGCCUCUGACUGCAUCUCCAGCCCCUUCUUUAUGCGCAGGGUGAGCUCAGGACACUGUGAGGACCUCUCUCCCAGGCACUGUCAGUGAUUUCCCAGCAGCACGACCAGAAAGAUGCAUGGUGAGAGGGAAAGAAGGAAAGAGGGAAAGAGGAGGGAUUCUGAGACUGAAAGUGCUAAAGCCCCAAGGAAGAAUGUGUCUUUCCCAUCACCACGCUGGGGAAAGAGGUGGCCUUUCAGGGGUCCAGCAGAACAGAAUAGCCCUUAGGGGACCUUGGGGGUGUUGGACUCCCUGUGUGCUCCCAGAUCUCUGCUGUGUCACACCGCACUGUUUUCAGCUUUGGAGUCAGUUUCUAUUAGCAUCACUGAGGAUUCCUUUGGGUCUCCCUGUGAUCACACGCAGAAAUGAGCAUUUCAUAGGAAGCGGGCACUGUGAGAGGAGAGGGAUGAGCUUCAGAGUCUGGGACCAGAGUUCCUUCCAGGUUCUGUGCUGCCACUUACCUGCUGAGUGGGCUCUGGCAGGUGACUCAGUCCUCUUUCUCUUGCAAUCCCCUUUCUCCUGACAUACAUAUUGGAGAAUAGAGUAGAUAUUUCUUAGGAUUGCUUAUAAGGUUAUAUUAUGUAUGUCAGUUUCAACAUGUGUUCACCUUUAUCAUGCAAGACAGAGGCAGAGGUUCUGCAUACGUUAAUAGAAUGUAGAGUGUACCCCCCAAACACUGAGCAAACAAGAGAAAGAGCUGUGAUGUGAUGGGUAGACAUUGUUAACCUUUUUUUUUUUUUUUUCUUUUUUUCUUUUUUGGUACUGGGAACUGAACUCAAGGUCUUGUGCUUGCCAGGCAGGUAUUGUGCUGCUGAGGAUCCCUGGCCCUAAAAUGUUAGUGCUUGUGACACUAGGUUCCCAGAUCAUUUACACUCCUUUUUCUUUUUUUUUUUUUUUGUACCAGGGAUCGAACUCACGACUUUGUGCUUGCCAGGCAGGUGAUUAUGCUGCUGAGCUAAAUCCCCAGCCUGACACCAAUACAUUAUUUGAAAUUCUACCUCUAUCCCUGGCUGCUACCUUAGAGAAAUUUCUUAGCACCUCUGGAUCUUUUUGUCUAACCACGAAGUGUUUAUAAUAAUACUGGCAAUAGUGAAACUUACCUGGGUAAAUUUAUGCAGAGUAGAGCUUGGCCUAUGGGAUUUACUGUAGGUAAUACCAAUUUGUAUGGGUCUCAUAUAGCAAGAAGAUAAAGAUCAUGAUUUCUGAGUUUAUCAUUCUCAAUGAUGUCAAGAGAGUAGGUUGGCUGUGUGAAAUCUCAGGGAUCUGUCUUUCUGAUUAAACAACAGCUGGUGCCACAGCUCCAACCAGAAGGCUUCACACAACAGAACCUGGAACAGAGGAACAUGAGUGCAGCCCAAGAGCUUUCCCUCAGUCAGAUGUUUCUCUUUAUCCCCAGAAACCCUGAACUCCUCCUUGCUUCUAAUUGGCCAGAACUGUGUCACUGGUAAAUUGGAUGAAAUUCUGUAACAUAGACCAGUCAUGACUGGUACUCUUAUGAUUGGACAAAUUGCUUCUGAAACCGAAUUAAAAUACUAUUAGUAAGGAAAAGGGGAAAUGCUUGCUUAAUAGGCAGCAAACAACAAUGGAUACAUCCUUAUUUUAGAAAUAAUGACGCAGGACUCUGUUAAAGUGACUUAGCCAGGGUCACAUGAACCGGAGGUGUGUCUGGCUGUGGAAUGCAGCCCAGAUUCUCUGGCCCCAGGUGCUUUAUUCUUUGCCAUGUUUUACUUCUUUACUGAACAUAAAGAAUCAUCAUACUAUAGUGUAUCAUUCUGGAACGAAGGCAUGAGAGGAUUCCUGUGUUAAAGGCUAAAUGUGAUGUUUUAGAAAGGAAAUAGAAAUCUGAGACUAGAAUCAAAUGUGGAGUUACUAGACAGUUCCUUCAAAUAGGACCUGUUCCUUCAGACAGGUCCUAGCUCCAUUUGUCCAUCCAUCUAUUCAACCAUUCAUCAACCAUCCUUUUGUGCACCCAUCCAUCUCUUGCCUACCCUUUCCUUACUUGUAUUCAUUAUUACCUAUUCUACAUCCUUUUAUAUAUACCUUUUUUCAUACAUCAAUCUAGCAUCUAUCUAGGAUUCAUUGACCUAUCUAUCAAUCUACUUAUCUAUUUUACCCAUUUACCCAUCUGUACAUUAUAUACCAGCAUAUCCAUCUAUAUACAUGUUCAUCUACCUAUUUUCUACCCAUAUAUACUCUAUUCACCUCCUUCCCUUCCAUUUUUCCUCAUUCCCUCCUUUUCCUUCCUUCCUUUUUCUUUUUUUUAAAUACUUAUCUGCUUGGUUACUUACCCUGACACAUUAUCUGCCUCCCAGUGCUAGGUGUUAGGUAAGGUAACAGUGAAAAGGUCUACUAUUUGGCUUUACAAAGAUCACAUUCCAUUAAAAGAGCAGGCAAGCCCAUUGCAUUCAACCUGAUGUUCACUGGGGCUCAUAGAGUAUAUAUCCAAUACUCAGGUCUUAGGUGGCCUUCAUGGUUGGAAAGACAAGAGCUGAUUAGUGUGGCUCUGUCAUCAGCCAGAAGGGUCAUUCAGGUGGCUCGUGCCACAUGGCCUAAGGCCCAAGUCCUGAUACAGUUGUCCUGUCACCCAGCACAAUGUCUUUGCAAUAAGUAAAACCUCUUCCAGUUAUUCAAGUGCUUUAAGACACCAAGUACAUUUGGCAAAGCAUUCUCCCUUGAAUAUUUAAAAUCAUGUUUUAUUUAAGGUAAAUGACUUCCAUAAAUUUUUGACCCAUUUGAGCUUUAUAUCACUGUAAUAUUCUUUAAGAGCCAAUUCAUGUCCAAUAGGGCUUUUCACCUUGUUUAAUGACUUUUUAAAAUUCUCUUUGCUUGCGAUCAAAACUGUAUAAGCCAGUUUGAAUGCCAGAGGGUUCAAGUUCAGUUCAGAGUCCUCAAAUCGUGAAUUCUGAGAGAAUUUCAAGUUAUUAAAAUAGGUUCUACUUAUCGGUAUUCAGCACUGCCUCCCCAGUGAUUUGCCCUGUGUAGACUCAUUGUGGAUGUCAGCUGAAGUCUGAAGGAUUGGACUUUCCUUUAUCCAUACAGAGGAACUGGGCUUGUGUUACUAUUUCUGAACAACAGAGAAAGAAUAAUAAAAAAGCAGCCAUGAUGGUCUUUGUUUUACUACA